GGUGUAGCUCAGUGGUAGAGGACAUGCUUAACAUACAUGAGGCCCUGGGCUCAAUCCCCAGCACC
rnacentral:tRNA from 1 species